rnacentral:ncRNA from 1 species
ACGAGAAAGAAAGAUGUUAACUACUAAAUGUGCUGCUUUGUGAAUUUGAUACUAGGUAGCAUAGAUCCGGAGAUUCCCAAAUAGGUCAACCUUUUAAACUGCCUGCUGAAUCCAUGAGCAGGCAAGAGACAACCUGGCGAACUGAAACAUCUUAGUAGCCAGAGGAAAAGAAAGCAAAAGC